CGACUACUCCCUCUGUCCCAAAUUUCUUGUCUUAGAUUUGUCUAGAUACGGAUGUAUCUAAUACUAAAAUGUGACUUGAUACAUCCGUAUCUAGACAAAUCUAAGACAAGAAUUUUGGGACAGAGGGAGUACUUU
rnacentral:pre_miRNA from 1 species